rnacentral:rRNA from 1 species
GGGUUGUGAGGUUAAGCGACUAAGCGUACACGGUGGAAUGCCCUGGCAGUCAGAGGCGAUGAAAGGGCGUGCUAAUCCUGCGAUAAGCGCCGGUAAGGUGAUAUGAACCGUUAUAACCGGCGAUACCCGAAUGGGGAAACCCAGUGUGAUUCGUCACACUAUCAUUAACUGAAUCCAUAGGUUAAUGAGGCGAACCGGGGGAACUGAAACAUCUAAGUACCCCGAGGAAAGAAAUCAACCGAGAUUCCCCCAGUAGCGGCGAGCGAACGGGGAGGAGCCCAGAGCCUGAAUCAGCAUGUGUGUUAGUGGAAGCGUCUGGAAAGGCGCGCGAUACAGGGUGACAGCCCCGUACACAAAAGCGCAUGUGCUGUGAGCUCGAUGAGUAGGGCGGGACACGUGGUAUCCUGUCUGAAUAUGGGGGGACCAUCCUCCAAGGCUAAAUACUCCUGACUGACCGAUAGUGAACCAGUACCGUGAGGGAAAGGCGAAAAGAACCCCGGCGAGGGGAGUGAAAAAGAACCUGAAACCGUGUACGUACAAGCAGUGGGAGCCACAGGUUUACCUGUGUGACUGCGUACCUUUUGUAUAAUGGGUCAGCGACUUAUAUUCUGUAGCAAGGUUAACCGUAUAGGGGAGCCGCAGGGAAACCGAGUCUUAACCGGGCGUUAAGUUGCAGGGUAUAGACCCGAAACCCGGUGAUCUAGCCAUGGGCAGGUUGAAGGUUGGGUAACACUAACUGGAGGACCGAACCGACUAAUGUUGAAAAAUUAGCGGAUGACCUGUGGCUGGGGGUGAAAGGCCAAUCAAACCGGGAGAUAGCUGGUUCUCCCCGAAAGCUAUUUAGGUAGCGCCUCGUGAAUUCAUCUCCGGGGGUAGAGCACUGUUUCGGCUAGGGGGCCAUCCCGGCUUACCAACCCGAUGCAAACUGCGAAUACCGGAGAAUGUUAUCACGGGAGACACACGGCGGGUGCUAACGUCCGUCGUGAAGAGGGAAACAACCCAGACCGCCAGCUAAGGUCCCAAAGUCAUGGUUAAGUGGGAAACGAUGUGGGAAGGCCCAGACAGCCAGGAUGUUGGCUUAGAAGCAGCCAUCAUUUAAAGAAAGCGUAAUAGCUCACUGGUCGAGUCGGCCUGCGCGGAAGAUGUAACGGGGCUAAACCAUGCACCGAAGCUGCGGCAGCGAACGUAUCACUUAAAGCGAUUCAGCGGGUUACGAUUGACGGAGCGAAGCGACGUCAAAGCGUAUACAAAGUCGAGUCGGUUUAAGGAUACGUUCGUUGGGUAGGGGAGCGUUCUGUAAGCCUGUGAAGGUGUGUCGUGAGGCAUGCUGGAGGUAUCAGAAGUGCGAAUGCUGACAUAAGUAACGAUAAAGCGGGUGAAAAGCCCGCUCGCCGGAAGACCAAGGGUUCCUGUCCAACGUUAAUCGGGGCAGGGUGAGUCGACCCCUAAGGCGAGGCCGAAAGGCGUAGUCGAUGGGAAACGGGUUAAUAUUCCCGUACUUGGUGUUACUGCGAAGGGGGGACGGAGAAGGCUAUGUUGGCCGGGCGACGGUUGUCCCGGUUUAAGCGUGUAGGCUGGUUUUCCAGGCAAAUCCGGAAAAUCAAGGCUGAGGCGUGAUGACGAGGCACUACGGUGCUGAAGCAACAAAUGCCCUGCUUCCAGGAAAAGCCUCUAAGCAUCAGGUAACAUCAAAUCGUACCCCAAACCGACACAGGUGGUCAGGUAGAGAAUACCAAGGCGCUUGAGAGAACUCGGGUGAAGGAACUAGGCAAAAUGGUGCCGUAACUUCGGGAGAAGGCACGCUGACACGUAGGUGAAGUGAUUUACUCAUGGAGCUGAAGUCAGUCGAAGAUACCAGCUGGCUGCAACUGUUUAUUAAAAACACAGCACUGUGCAAACACGAAAGUGGACGUAUACGGUGUGACGCCUGCCCGGUGCCGGAAGGUUAAUUGAUGGGGUCAGCGCAAGCGAAGCUCCUGAUCGAAGCCCCGGUAAACGGCGGCCGUAACUAUAACGGUCCUAAGGUAGCGAAAUUCCUUGUCGGGUAAGUUCCGACCUGCACGAAUGGCGUAAUGAUGGCCAGGCUGUCUCCACCCGAGACUCAGUGAAAUUGAACUCGCUGUGAAGAUGCAGUGUACCCGCGGCAAGACGGAAAGACCCCGUGAACCUUUACUAUAGCUUGACACUGAACAUUGAGCCUUGAUGUGUAGGAUAGGUGGGAGGCUUUGAAGUGUGGACGCCAGUCUGCAUGGAGCCGACCUUGAAAUACCACCCUUUAAUGUUUGAUGUUCUAACGUGGACCCGUAAUCCGGGUUGCGGACAGUGUCUGGUGGGUAGUUUGACUGGGGCGGUCUCCUCCUAAAGAGUAACGGAGGAGCACGAAGGUUGGCUAAUCCUGGUCGGACAUCAGGAGGUUAGUGCAAUGGCAUAAGCCAGCUUGACUGCGAGCGUGACGGCGCGAGCAGGUGCGAAAGCAGGUCAUAGUGAUCCGGUGGUUCUGAAUGGAAGGGCCAUCGCUCAACGGAUAAAAGGUACUCCGGGGAUAACAGGCUGAUACCGCCCAAGAGUUCAUAUCGACGGCGGUGUUUGGCACCUCGAUGUCGGCUCAUCACAUCCUGGGGCUGAAGUAGGUCCCAAGGGUAUGGCUGUUCGCCAUUUAAAGUGGUACGCGAGCUGGGUUUAGAACGUCGUGAGACAGUUCGGUCCCUAUCUGCCGUGGGCGCUGGAGAACUGAGGGGGGCUGCUCCUAGUACGAGAGGACCGGAGUGGACGCAUCACUGGUGUUCGGGUUGUCAUGCCAAUGGCACUGCCCGGUAGCUAAAUGCGGAAGAGAUAAGUGCUGAAAGCAUCUAAGCACGAAACUUGCCCCGAGAUGAGUUCUCCCUGAGACUUUAGGUCUCCUGAAGGAACGUUGAAGACGACGACGUUGAUAGGCCGGGUGUGUAAGCGCAGCGAUGCGUUGAGCUAACCGGUACUAAUGAACCGUGAGGCUUAACCUUACAACGCCGAAG